AGUACUAAAACCGACACAGGUAGGCGAGAUGAAUAUUCUCAGGCGCUCGAGAGAACGCUGGUUAAGGAACUCGGCAACAUAACCCCGUAACUUCGGGAGAAGGGGUGCCUUCUGGGGUGUCAAAGCUCUGGGAGGCCGCAGAGAAAUGGGUCUAGCGACUGUUUACUAAAAACACAGGUCUGUGCGAAGGCGCAAGCCGAGGUAUACAGACUGACGCCUGCCCGGUGCCGGUAGGUUAAGGAAGAGGGUUAACGGCGUAAGCCGCGAAGCUCGCAACCGAAGCCCCGGUAAACGGCGGCCGUAACUAUGACGGUCCUAAGGUAGCGAAGUUCCUUGUCGGGUAAGUUCCGACCUGCAUGAAUGGCGUAACGACUGGACCACUGUCUCAACUAGCGACUCGGUGAAACUGUAGUUGUUGUGAAGAUGCAACAUACCCGCAACUAGACGGAAAGACCCCGUGAACCUUUACUGCAGCUUAGUAUUGGGUUUAGGCCCAGCAUGCGUAGCGUAGGUGGGAGACUGCGAAACUGGUGUCUUGGCAUCAGUAGAGUCGACCAAUGAAACACCACCCUUGUUGUGCUUGAAUUCUAACCCCGUCCCGUCAUCCGGGCGGCGGACAGUGCUAAGUGGGCAGUUUGACUGGGGCGGUCUCCUCCCAAAGAGUAACGGAGGAGUUCAAAGGUACCCUCAGCCCGGUCGGCAAUCGGGCACAGAGCGUAAACGUAGAAGGGUGCUUGACUGCGAGUCCUAUCAGACGAGCAGGUACGAAAGUAGGAGUUAGUGAUCCGGCGGUGCUGGAUGGAAAGGCCGUCGCUCAACAGAUAAAAGGUACUCCGGGAUAACAGGCUUAUCUCCCCUGAGCGUUCACAGCGGCGGGGAGGUUUGGCACCUCGAUGUCGGCUCAUCGCAUCCUGGGGGUGGAGAAGCUCCCAAGGGUUUGGCUGUUCGCCAAUGAAAGCGGUACGUGAGCUGGGUUUAGACCGUCGUGAGACAGGUCGGUCCCUAUCUGUUGUGGGCGUAGGAAGCUUGAGCGGCUUUCUCCCUAGUACGAGAGGAUUGGGAGGGACGUACCUCUGGUGUUCCAGUUGUCGUGCUAGCGGCAGCGCUGGGUAGCCACGUACGGCACGGAUAAACGCUGAAGGCAUCUAAGCGUGAAACCCCCCGCAAGAUUAGGCUUCCAUCCGCAAGGUGAAGGCUCCUGGAAGACUACCAGGUCGAUAGGCCGGGUGUGUAAGUGCAGCAAUGCAUUUAGCUAACCGGUACUAACAGCCGAUCGCUUCGCCGC
rnacentral:rRNA from 1 species